GACGAACGCUGGCGGCGUGCCUAAUACAUGCAAGUUGAGCGCUGAAGGUUGGUACUUGUACCAACUGGAUGAGCAGCGAACGGGUGAGUAACGCGUGGGGAAUCUGCCUUUGAGCGGGGGACAACAUUUGGAAACGAAUGCUAAUACCGCAUAAAAACUUUAAACACAAGUUUUAAGUUUGAAAGAUGCAAUUGCAUCACUCAAAGAUGAUCCCGCGUUGUAUUAGCUAGUUGGUGAGGUAAAGGCUCACCAAGGCGAUGAUACAUAGCCGACCUGAGAGGGUGAUCGGCCACAUUGGGACUGAGACACGGCCCAAACUCCUACGGGAGGCAGCAGUAGGGAAUCUUCGGCAAUGGACGAAAGUCUGACCGAGAAACGCCGCGUGAGUGAAGAAGGUUGUCGGAUCGUAAAACUCUGUUGGUAGAGAAGAACGUUGGUGAGAGUGGAAAGCUCAUCAAGUGACGGUAACUACCCAGAAAGGGACGGCUAACUACGUG
rnacentral:rRNA from 1 species